rnacentral:rRNA from 1 species
AUUGAACGCUGGCGGCAGGCCUAACACAUGCAAGUCGAGCGGAUGAAGGGAGCUUGCUCCUGGAUUCAGCGGCGGACGGGUGAGUAAUGCCUAGGAAUCUGCCUGGUAGUGGGGGAUAACGUCCGGAAACGGGCGCUAAUACCGCAUACGUCCUGAGGGAGAAAGUGGGGGAUCUUCGGACCUCACGCUAUCAGAUGAGCCUAGGUCGGAUUAGCUAGUUGGUGGGGUAAAGGCCUACCAAGGCGACGAUCCGUAACUGGUCUGAGAGGAUGAUCAGUCACACUGGAACUGAGACACGGUCCAGACUCCUACGGGAGUCAGCAGUGUGGAAUAUUGGACCAUGAGCGAAAGCCUGCUCCAGCCAUGCCGCGUGUGUGAAGAAGGUCUUAGGAUAGUAAAGCACUUUAAGUUGGGAGGAAGGGCAGUAAGUUAAUCCCUUGCUGUUUUGACGUUACCUACAGAAUAAGCCCCGGCUAACUUCGUG